rnacentral:lncRNA from 1 species
CUGAUUUAAAGCUCCACUCUCUUAAUGCCCCACAAAUGAGAUUAGAUUUCAACAUGAUCUGGUAAGGACAAACCAGUAAAAUACCAAGUCCCAUCUCUGCACUGAUUAAGAAAGCAAAACCCUGUUCAGAGCAGUGAGAGCAGAGGGUACAGGUGGGGUCUGUGGGUGCAGGUGAGGCCUGUGGGUGCAGGUGAGGCCUGUGGGUGCAGGUGAGGUCUGUGGGUACAGGUGAGGCCUGUGGGUGCAGGUGAGGCCUGUGGGUGCAGGUGAGGCCUGUGGGUGCAGGUGAGGC